rnacentral:rRNA from 1 species
GACGAACGCUGGCGGCGUGCUUAACACAUGCAAGUCGAACGGUAAGGCCCUUCGGGGUACACGAGUGGCGAACGGGUGAGUAACACGUGGGUGAUCUGCCCUGCACUUCGGGAUAAGCCUGGGAAACUGGGUCUAAUACCGGAUAGGACCACUGCCUACAUGGGUGGUGGUGGAAAGCUUUUGCGGUGUGGGAUGGGACCGCGGCCUAUCAGCUUGUUGGUGGGGUGAUGGCCUACCAAGGCGACGACGGGUAGCCGGCCUGAGAGGGUGACCGGCCACACUGGGACUGAGAUACGGCCCAGACUCCUACGGGAGGCAGCAGUGGGGAAUAUUGCACAAUGGGCGCAAGCCUGAUGCAGCGACGCCGCGUGAGGGAUGACGGCCUUCGGGUUGUAAACCUCUUUCAGCACCGACGAAGCGCAAGUGACGGUAGGUGCAGAAGAAGGACCGGCCAACUACGUGCCAGCCGCCGCAGUAA